rnacentral:rRNA from 1 species
GACGAACGCUGGCGGCGUGCUUAACACAUGCAAGUCGAACGGAAAGGCCCUGCUUUUGUGGGGUGCUCGAGUGGCGAACGGGUGAGUAACACGUGAGUAACCUGCCCUUGACUUUGGGAUAACUUCAGGUAACUGGGGCUAAUACCGGAUAGGUGCUCCUGCUGCAUGGUGGGGGUUGGAAAGUUUCGGCGGUUGGGGAUGGACUCGCGGCUUAUCAGCUGGUUGGUGGGGUAGUGGCUUACCAAGGAUUUGACGGGUAGCCGGCCUGAGAGGGUGACCGGCCGCAUUGGGACGGAGAUACGGCCCAGACUCCUACGGGAGGCAGCAGUGGGGAAGAUGGCAGAGUGGGCGGAGGCAGGAUGCAGCAACGCCGCGGGCGGGAUGACGGCCUUCGGGUGGUAAACAGCUUUCGCCUGCGACGAAGCGUGUGUGACGGAAAUGGGUAAAGAGGCACCGGCUACCUACGU